GACGAACCGUGCAAACGUUGUUCGGAAUCACUGGGCUUAAAGGGCGCGUAGGCGGGUGUGUAAGUCUGCGGUGAAAUCCUCCAGCUUAACUGGAGAAGUGCCGUGGAUACUGCUCAUCUUGAGGAGGGUAGGGGCAUCUGGAACGGUCGGUGGAGCGGUGAAAUGCGUUGAUAUCGACCGGAACUCCGGUGGCGAAGGCGAGGUGCUGGACCCUUUCUGACGCUGAAGCGCGAAAGCCAGGGGAGCAAACGGG
rnacentral:rRNA from 1 species